rnacentral:rRNA from 1 species
CAGCCGCGAAUGGCUCAUUACAACAGCCACUGUUUACUUGAUCUUGAUUAUCCUACUUGGAUAACUGUGGUAAUUCUAGAGCUAAUACACGCAAUAAAGCUCCGACCUUACGGGACGAGCGCAUUUAUUAGACCAAAACCAAUCGGGCCUCGGCCUGAACGGUGGUGACUCUGAAUAACUGAGCUGAUCGCAUGGUCUUUGUACCGGCGACGCAUCUUUCAAGUGUCUGCCUUAUCAACUUUCGAUGGUAGUUUAUGUGCCUACCAUGGUUGUUACGGGUAACGGAGAAUAAGGGUUCGACUCCGGAGAGGGAGCCUGAGAAACGGCUACCACAUCCAAGGAAGGCAGCAGGCGCGCAAAUUACCCACUCUCGGCACGAGGAGGUAGUGACGAAAAAUAACGAGGCGGUUCUCUAAGAGGCCCGCUAUCGGAAUGGGUACAAUUUAAACCCUUUAACGAGGACCUAUGAGAGGGCAAGUCUGGUGCCAGCAGCCGCGGUAAUUCCAGCUCUCAAG